UGGCAAUGAGGAGAGACCUAAGUGUUGAAUUAUGGUGAUGGUUGUAUACGCUAUUCUGAGCCAGCG